rnacentral:lncRNA from 1 species
CCGCCGCACUUGCAAGACUCUCUUCCCAUCGACCCCCAACAACAUCCCUCCAUCUCUCUCCCUCUCCUUUGUUCCAAGAUCAAUCGAGAUCUCCCUCUCUUCCCCUAAACAGCACCAUCAUCUUGUAGAUCUCCCAUCAUCGGAGUCCCUCAAGACUACGUGCUCCCUUCUCGAGAUCAAGAUCAAGCUAUUGUCCCUUGCAUCUUUGCUCUCUGUAGGCCUCCUCCAAGAGAUCAUUG